GACGAACGCUGGCGGCGUGCUUAACACAUGCAAGUCGAGCGGUAAGGCCCUUCGGGGUACACGAGCGGCGAACGGGUGAGUAACACGUGGGUGACCUGCCCUCCACUCUGGGAUAAGCCCGGGAAACUGGGUCUAAUACCGGAUAUGACCUCUGGAUGCAUGUCUGGUGGUGGAAAGCCUGGGUUGUAUGACUCUGGCGGUGGGGGAUGGGCCCGCGGUCUAUCAGCUUGUUGGGGGGUGAUGGCCUACCAAGGCGACGACGGAUAGCCGGCCUGAGAGGGUGAUCGGCCACACUGGGACUGAGACACGGCCCAGACUCCUACGGGAGGCAGCAGUGGGGAAUCUUGCGCAAUGGGCGGAAGCCUGACACAGCAACGCCGCGUGGGGGA
rnacentral:rRNA from 1 species